rnacentral:rRNA from 1 species
GAGAUUCUUCGGAUGAUCGAUUGGUGACUGAGUGGCGGACGGGUGAGUAACGCGUGGGUAACCUGCCCUGUACAGGGGGAUAACAGCUGGAAACGGCUGCUAAUACCGCAUAAGCGCACGAGGAGACAUCUCCUUGUGUGAAAAACUCCGGUGGUACAGGAUGGGCCCGCGUCUGAUUAGCUGGUUGGCAGGGUAACGGCCUACCAAGGCAACGAUCAGUAGCCGGUCUGAGAGGAUGAACGGCCACAUUGGAACUGAGACACGGUCCAAACUCCUACGGGAGGCAGCAGUGGGGAAUAUUGCACAAUGGGGGAAACCCUGAUGCAGCAACGCCGCGUGAGUGAAGAAGUAUUUCGGUAUGUAAAGCUCUAUCAGCAGGGAAGAUAAUGACGGUACCUGACUAAGAAGCUCCGGCUAAAUACGUGCCAGCAGCCGCGGUAAUACGUAUGGAGCAAGCGUUAUCCGGAUUUACUGGGUGUAAAGGGUGCGUAGGUGGCAGUGCAAGUCAGAUGUGAAAGGCCGGGGCUCAACCCCGGAGCUGCAUUUGAAACUGCAUAGCUAGAGUACAGGAGAGGCAGGCGGAAUUCCUAGUGUAGCGGUGAAAUGCGUAGAUAUUAGGAGGAACACCAGUGGCGAAGGCGGCCUGCUGGACUGUUACUGACACUGAGGCACGAAAGCGUGGGGAGCAAA